GACGAACGCUGGCGGCGUGGAUUAGGCAUGCAAGUCGGACGGUAGGGCUUUAUCGUAAGAUAGAGUUUGAGAGUGGCGAACGGGUGAGUAACACGUAGGAAUCUACCCUUAAGACGGGGACAACCCAGGGAAACUUGGGCUAAUACCGGAUGAGAGUGCGAGAGAUUGCAUUUAAAAGGAUGGCGAAAGUUGUCGCUUAGGGAUGAGCCUGCGGUCUAUUAGUUAGUUGGUGAGGUAAGAGCUCACCAAGGCGAUGAUAGAUAGGCGGCCUUAACGGGUGGUCGCCCACACUGGGAUUGAGAUACGGCCCAGACUCCUACGGGAGGCAGCAGUCGAGAAUAGUCUACAAUGGCCGGAAGGCUGAUAGUGCGACGCCGCGUGAACGAGGGAGCCCUUCGGGUGUAAAGUUCUUUUCUAUACGAGCAGUGCUAUAUAUAUGGAUAGUAAUAUAUAGAGGGAUAGUAGUAUAGGAAUAAAGCAACGGCUAACUCCGUGCCAGCAGCCG
rnacentral:rRNA from 1 species